AUGGACGGUGGCACAUCUAGCAAGAGACGAGUGGAAGCCUCGGGCGAGGGAGAGAGCAGCGGCAAGAGGCAGAAUGUCACCAUGGGGAUGGACGCCCUCGACUGCCCCGUCUGCUUUCAUCCCCUCACACCUCCUAUAUACCAGUGUUCUGUGGGGCAUUUCGUAUGCUCGUCUUGCCGCCCGAAGCUCGUGCGCAACAAGUGUCACUUGUGCUCUGCCGAAACUACCUUCAAGCGCUGUCUAGGGAUGGAACGUCUCAUGGAAUCAGUCACAGUCGCUUGCUGCAAUGCCAAUUAUGGAUGCGCCCAAAAGCUGACUUACUACCAGAGGGAAGAACACGAGGAGGCAUGCCCUAACACCCCAUGUUUCUGCCCGGAGUCCAGCUGCAGCUUUGCAGGGCCAACAGACGCCCUCCUUGAACAUUUUGCCUCCCAGCACAAGUGGCCAUGUACAACCAUCAAAUACUAUGAAGAUGUUAAGUUCCACCUAGAACCAGGUCUACAUUUUCUUCGUACCGAAGAAAGGGUAAUUUUCUUGCUCAACGUGGCACUAGAGCCAGUCGGGCAUGCCAUCUCUGUUGUCUGCAUCCAACCUAAAGGUACAAACUCCAAGUUCAAAUGUCAAAUGUCCUACAGUUGCUUUACAACUGGCUAUUAUCAGAGUUCAACGUACAAGAUACGAAGCUCAUUGCUGUCUGAUGGGCUACCAAAGGGAUACAACCUAAUUCUGCCCAAGGAUGAGGUACCUGAUGAUGGAAAGGGUAUCCCGCUUAGGUUCUGCAUUCAUGAUCCUACUAAAAUAAAGGUGCACGAGCCCAUUUAUCUGAAGCUAGUACAGGGUGUAUGA
rnacentral:rRNA from 1 species